rnacentral:rRNA from 1 species
UACGUAGGGUGCGAGCGUUGUCCGGAAUUAUUGGGCGUAAAGGGCUCGUAGGCGGUUUGUCGCGUCGGGAGUGAAAUCCACUGGCUUAACUGGUGGCUUGCUUUCGAUACGGGCAGACUAGAGUUCGGUAGGGGAGUCUGGAAUUCCUGGUGUAGCGGUGAAAUGCGCAGAUAUCAGGAGGAACACCGGUGGCGAAGGCGGGACUCUGGGCCGAUACUGACGCUGAGGAGCGAAAGCGUGGGGAGCAAACAGG